rnacentral:rRNA from 1 species
UACGUAGGGGGCAAGCGUUGUCCGGAUUUAUUGGGCGUAAAGAGCGUGUAGGCGGUUUGGUAGGUCCGCUGUGAAAACUCGAGCUCAACUUCGAGACGCCGGUGGAAACCAUCAGACUAGAGUCCGGAAGAGGAGAGUGGAAUUCCGUGGUGUAGCGGUGAAAUGCGCAGAUAUCAGGAAGAACACCCGUGGCUAAGGCGGCUCUCUAGUACGGUACUGACGCUGAGACGCGAAAGCGUGGGGAGCGAACAGG